rnacentral:pre_miRNA from 1 species
GGAAGAGAUGUCAAACAUGGAAGAAGGAGCCUUGUUUGGUAGCCAAGGAUGAUUUGCCUGCAGCCUCGAUCCUAAAGAGUAAAGAGGUUUAUUACACGAUAAAAAUCAGAAAAACCCUAGUUGAGUUCUCAGGCAGUCACGCCUUGGCGACGUGACAAGCUCUUCUCUCUCAUGCUAGGCUGCUCUCUUCC